rnacentral:tRNA from 1 species
GGGCGUGUAGCUCAGCUGGGAGAGCACCUGCCUUGCAAGCAGGGGGUCAGCGGUUCGAUUCCGCUCGUCUCCA